GACGAACGCUGGCGGCGUGCUUAACACAUGCAAGUCGAACGGAAAGGCCCUGCUUUUGUGGGGUGCUCGAGUGGCGAACGGGUGAGUAACACGUGAGUAACCUGCCCUUGACUUUGGGAUAACUUCAGGAAACUGGGGCUAAUACCGGAUAGGAGCUCCUGCUGCAUGGUGGGGGUUGGAAAGUUUCGGCGGUUGGGGAUGGACUCGCGGCUUAUCAGCUUGUUGGUGGGGUAGUGGCUUACCAAGGCUUUGACGGGUAGCCGGCCUGCGAGGGUGACCGGCCACAUCGGGACUGAGAUACGGCCCAGACUCCUGCGGGAGGCAGCACUGGGGAAUAGUGCGCAAUGGGCGGAAGCCUGAUGCAGCAACGCCGCGUGCGGGAUGACGGCCUUCGGGUUGUAAACCGCUUUCGCCUGAGACGAGGCGUGAGUGACGGUAAUGGGUAAAGAAGCACCGGCUAACUACGUG
rnacentral:rRNA from 1 species